GGGUUGUGAGGUUAAGCGACUAAGCGUACACGGUGGAUGCCCUGGCAGUCAGAGGCGAUGAAGGACGUGCUAAUCUGCGAAAAGCGUCGGUAAGGUGAUAUGAACCGUUAUAACCGGCGAUGUCCGAAUGGGGAAACCCAGUGUGAUUCGUCACACUAUCGUUAACUGAAUACAUAGGUUAACGAGGC
rnacentral:rRNA from 1 species